CCCUGCAGUUCUCACCUUCAGUGGUGUCCCACUGAAGCUAAGCAGGUUGAGCCUGGCCAGUACCAGGAUGGGAGACCUUCUGGGGAAAACUAAGUUUGCUGCUGGAA
rnacentral:rRNA from 1 species